AGUGAACGCUGGCGGCGUGCCUAAUACAUGCAAGUCGAACGGAAUUUAAGAGAGCUUGCUCUUUUAAAUUUAGUGGCGCACGGGUGAGUAAUAUAUAGCUAAUCUGCCCCUUGCUGGAGGACAACAGUUAGAAAUGACUGCUAAUACUCCAUGCUCCUUUUUACCAUAAGAUAAAUCGGGAAAGAAUUUCGGCAAGGGAUGAGACUAUAUCGUAUCAGCUAGUCGGUGGGGUAACGGCCUACCGAGGCUAUGACGCGUAACUGGUCUGAGAGGAUGAUCAGUCACAUUGGAACUGAGACACGGUCCAAACUCCUACGGGAGGCAGCAGUAGGGAAUAUUGCGCAAUGGGGGAAACCCUGACGCAGCAACGCCGCGUGGAGGAUGACACUUUUCGGAGCGUAAACUCCUUUUGUUAGGGAAGAAUAAGA
rnacentral:rRNA from 1 species